rnacentral:rRNA from 1 species
CGCGAGCACUGGCUCGGCCGGCCCUUUCCUCGCGGGGAAACCCAUGCCCUUUGCUGGGUGUGCGGGCCACCCGCGACUUUUACUGUGAAUAAAUCAGACUGUUCAAAGGAGGCCUUUGCUCGAAUGUCUUAGCAUGGAAUAAUGGAAUAGGACGCGCGUCCCUAUUUUGUUGGUUUCUAGGGACGCCGUAAUGAUUAAUAGGGAUGGUCGGGGGCAUCAGUAUUCAAUUGUCAGAGGUGAAAUUCUUGGAUUUAUUGAAGACUAACUACUGCGAAAGCAUUUGCCAGGGAUGUUUUCAUUAAUCAGUGAACGAAAGUUAGGGGAUCGAAGACGAUCAGAUACCGUCGUAGUCUUAACCGUAAACCAUGCCGACUAGGGAUCGGGCGAUGUUUCAUCAUGACUCGCUCGGCACCUUGCGAGAAAUCAAAGUAAGGUUCUGGGGGGAGUAUGGUCGCAAGGCUGAAACUUAAAGAAAUUGACGGAAGGGCACCACCAGGAGUGGAGCCUGCGGCUUAAUUUGACUCAACACGGGGAAACUCACCAGGUCCAGACACAAUAAGGAUUGACAGAUUGAGAGCUCUUUCUUGAUUUUGUGGGUGGUGGUGCAUGGCCGUUCUUAGUUGGUGGAGUGAUUUGUCUGCUUAAUUGCGAUAACGAACGAGACCUUAACCUGCUAAAUAGCCAGGCGAGCCUUGGCUCGUCGCCGGCUUCUUAGAGGGACUAUCGG